UUCCAGUCCAACUCCUAAUUUUCUUUCGUCGUUACGUCACUGUUUGCGCGGGUGGUUGAUUCUCACGUUCUGAUCUUGAGGUACGAAGCUGUAAAAAAUUCGAAGAAAUUAGGGUUAACAAGGGGAUCCAAGUUCUUUCGACUCGAAAGACGCACGUUUAUUAGAGUUAAAACUACGGAUUCGAAGCAUAAAUCUAGCAAGAAGGAAGAUUAUGUGAAGAAAGAGGAAGAGUUGAAGAGGGAGAGAGAAAGGAGUGUUGAUGAGAAGUAGAGAAAAGAGAGGGGGAGAGAGAGAGAGAGACGUAGAGAAGGUGAGGUGGUGGAAAUGAUGAUGUCGGAGAUAGAGAUAGAAAGAGGCGGAGAGGGAAGAUAGUGUAGAUAAUAGUGGGACAAAAAAGGCUGAUGAAAAUUCUUCAGAUGAGAAAGAAGUAAGAACCCAUGAAGUUGCAUGAGGAAAUGGAGGAGAGUUGAAGAAUGGCAGGAAAAAAGAAAAAGAAAAAGUAGGAAUCUGAGAGAGAAGAGAGCGAUGAACCCAAAUCAGGCAAGAGUUGGAGUUCAGAAGGAGAAUGUAGAGAAUGAAGAAGGUGAUGUAAUUGUUAAUGGAUCAUCAGAUACUGUGGCUCCUUUGCAGAAUGGUGGUGAGAAGAGGAAAUUGAUCCUUUAGAUGCUUUCAUGAAUUCCAUGGUGAUACCCGAAGUCAACAAGUUGAUCCCCAUACUGGUUUGGGUCAAAAGAAAGAUGGCGAGAUUCAGGAGAAUGGGAAGCAAUGAAAAAAGAUCAAAUGGGGAUCAUUCCUGGCGAAGAUUCAUCAUCCCAAUGUUGAAAAUGAUGAAGAUCCUUUGGAUGAUGAAUUCAUGAAACGUGUAAAGAAGACAAAAGGAUUACAUCCCAUUCAGGAAGAAUUUUUACAUUGAAGUGUAGUUUAAAUAAGCUAUGGCUUGAAGGAGGAUCCAGCUUGCUGUGAUGUGCAAAUGGUUAUUAGUGGGUUUUUUCUUUUUGUAAUAAAAUAUUAAAAUGUUGAUAUGGUUUUGUGUAACUGAUAAUACGGGCAUUCAUUUCUGAUUGUAGGUUGGUUGGGCCUUUGUUGCGAAGUUAGCCUAGGCUUUACCAAAACCUUCCUUCCUUCCUUCCUUUUUUAACCCAAACACCUUGAUUGCCUAUGUGAUUCGUUAUAUUCAAAGGGCAUUUGAUAGGUAAUAACUUCAUUAAAUCUCAUUAUCUGACAGUUGCGGGUUAUUAUUUAUAGAUUGAGGAUGAAGCUGCAGGAGCUCUUUUUUUUUAUUCAACACCCAUGCAUUCAUUCAGGAGUACAACCACUAAACUUAAAACUAAAGAUUAAAAGUUGCAUAUUACUUUUCAGCUCCAUUGGUUGGUUGGUUUGUUUUUCUUUUUGUUGGUUUGUAAUAUCUACUAACUAUUGAGUAUCUGUAAUAUUAACUGUUGUUAUAGUUGAUACUUUAUGGAAAGAAUCUUGAAAAAUUGGACAA